UCCUAGCCACGAUGGAAGCGGCAUCCUUUGGGUUGGAGUGAGGCGGCGGAGCACAGCGGAGCCGACCGAGCGACAAGCCCAAAGAUAUAGCGGACAGCGUGAUAAAGC
rfam:Soonwooa buanensis strain DSM 22323 genome assembly, contig: LY62DRAFT_scaffold00005.5